UUUUGCAUYAUGCUGAUUAGAAGUUUUGAAUAAUUUUCUUAAACCGAAAAGAUUAGAUUUUUAUAAUAGUCGCACUUCAGUGCUUUAUAGCCGAGUAGGUAUUGAAACUAUUAUAACGUUGUGAAAAAUUAAUCGUUAGUCUUUAUAACUGUUUUACGCUAAAUAUUUCAAUUUAUUACUCGGGCUAUGAGGUCCGAGUAUAGUAUAUACAAUAUAUAUUUUUCUCAAUGAAUGGGUUAAAGUUACCCCUUUGUUAUGUACUUGUUACAAGGCUUUAAAAAAUUGUUAGUUGUUAUUUUUAAUUAGCUUAUAAAUUUUACUUUUAGUUUUAUUUAUUAGUCGAUAAGUAAUAUUAACAGUUGUAUUGUUUCUCUAGCAUAGCCCGUCUGUUUAUUAAAAACAUUUUCAUACGUAAAUUUUUAUGAUAGUACCUGCUCUAUGUUUUAAUAAAUGGCCGCAGUAUAUUGACUGUGCGAAGGUAGCAUAAUUAAUUGCCCCUUAAUUGGGGGCUUGUUUGAAUGGUUUGACGUGGUUAUUUGUUAACAUUGUAUCUUUAAUUGAAAUUAAUAUUGAGGGCACAGAAUCCUCUUUGUUUAAUUAGACGGAAAGACCCCGGGAUCUUUCUUUUUUGCCUGGGGCAGGUUAAAUAGUUUCAAAUUUAUUAUGACCCUCCCUUUAAGGAGUUUAGUGGGUUAAGUUACCCCGGGGAUAACAGUGUAAUAUUUUAUUAGAGAUCUUAUCGAAUAAAUUGCUUGCCACCUCGAUGUUGACUUAGGUUUAUACCUGGGCGCAGCAGUUCAGGUAUGUGGUCUGUUCGACCUUAAUUACCUCCAUGAGUUGAGUUAAGACCGGCGUAAGCCAGGUCGGUUCUUAUCUAUU
rnacentral:rRNA from 1 species